rnacentral:rRNA from 1 species
CUUCGACGCGUACGGGUGUUGGGAGACAUAGCCCGGAGAUGGAUUCUGAGACACGAAUCCAGACCCUACGGGGUGCAGCAGGCGCGAAAACUUCACACUGCAGGAAACUGUGAUGAGGGAACUCCUAGUGCAUGCACUAUGUGUAUGUAGAACCUACUCUUAACAAGUAGAGGGAAAGGGCUGGGAAAGACCGGUGCCAGCCGCCGCGGUAAUACCGGCAGCUCAAGUGGUCGUCGCUUUUAUUGGGCCUAAAACGUCCGUAGCCUGUUUGGUAAAUCUGUGGGUAAAUCAACCUGCUCAACGGGUUGAAUUCUGCAGAGACUGCCAGACUAGGGACCGGGAGAGGUGUGGGGUACUCUAGGGGUAGGGGUAAAAUCCUGUCAUCCUUAGAGGACCACCAGUUGCGAAGGCGCCACACUGGAACGG